UGUCAUUGGCGGUGGUGAAAGGUAAACAUUGAGGUCCACGCCGGAGUGAGUUCAGUGAUCCAGCCUGGAACGGGAGAGCGCGCUCGACCCUCCUCUUGCUGUCGAGUCCGGCGGGAUACUGACGACUUACUCUACCACUACCACCACCAGGCACUCCUCUGGAGGGGAGGGGGGGUGCCAGACGUGGGUGCCAGGCACUCAGACACAGCCGCUGUCGACGACGGGAAGAAGAGUGAAAAGUAGAUUGUACGUGGUGGACGGUGCCUCGGCUUGAUGGUGGUCCUUGCCUGCAGUUACUCGCGAGAAACACGACAGGAUUUUCUUCUCUGAAACAUGACCGUAACAGCAGGAGUCGUUGUUCAGGUCCUGCCUGUGACAGAUGAGACCAACUCGCCAGCUUCGUACACCUCAGCCUUCUGCCCGCCGGGGGAAAUGGAAUUAUGAUGGACCAAGGGAACGACGGGGGAAAUAGAG